GGAACAUUAGGAAAUGGUGUAAAGCAUCAUUCUUGGUCUGUAAUAGUUCCUGACUUCUUUCCUUUGAUGAUAUCUGAAUUUCACUUUUAUUGUUGAUGGAAAGUCUUGGCAAUUCCUUCAAGAUGCCCUCUGCUUUCCCAAUAGGUCUGAAGUUGCACUCAUUCAGAACAAGGUGUGUUUCUGUGACUCUGGUCGGCGCUUUGUGGAUCUAAGGACCCUAAAACAGUUUAUAAUAAAUUCUUAGGGUCUCUACCAUUUUAUUCCUUUGAGACUUUUCAUCACAGUGUUAGAAUAACAGUAUGCAUUUUCAGAAAGAAAUGUAAGACUUAAUGACCAUUAGAUUUGUUUGUCAGAUCUGGUGAUCAGUGAGCCCCUACGUUCUACAAGACCAGAAGUAUCUUUGGGGUUACUCAAAAGGAGUGUUCCCAUAGAAAUCUUUAAGCCUCAAUCUCAUUGUAUGUCCUGGGAUAUCUCCUCUAUUCCUCUAUUUCAGAAUGUCCCCUGUGUUCUUCACCAAAGUUGUUCUGCUCAAAGCCAGCAGAUACCUGCUAAUAUGAAUAAUGGUCCAGAACAAUUUGGAAAGGGAGACAACCCAGCUGUGUCUGCCUCAUGCUACUGAAAAACUAGGUUCCUGACCUAGAAUCAGACAGCACCAAGAAAAAGUCUGGAGAAAAUGACACACCUGGUACAUGUCCCCUUCCAGGGGGCGCCACUCUCGCUGGACAAAGGAGUUGGAGGCGGGUGGUCCUUUCCCUGGAACUCACCUGAAGGCACCUCAUCCUGGUCCUCCACCUUGUGCAAGGAUGGGCACUGCUGCUUACCCUUACUUACUGUCUUGUGUCCCUCCCCGCAUUACCCACUCCUUUUGAGAACCAUCUCUUGUUCCUUACGUCUCCACGUGCCAAAAAGUCUUUGUUGACUUCUAUGGCAAAGUCAGUGGCCUCUUACUCCUCCCCCUGCUUGCCCGUCCUUAGCAUUUAAUACACCUGACUCUCCCCUCCUUCUGGAAACAGUCUCCUUCCCUGGCCUCCCUGCUUCAUCUGUUUCCUCAUGGCCCCCUCCUCACUCUCUGACCAGCUCUCCAUUCCCAGUCUUCUCUGAAAUCUUGAUGUUUCUGAAAUGCUGUGUUCUUAGCCCUUUUAUUCUUCAUAGCCCUUUCUCUGGGCAAUCUCACUUACACCUGUGGCUUAGGCUAAAACUUAUAUACUGAUCACUUUCUUUCCUUCUUAUUCAAUUAAAACUCUCUUGUAAUUACAAAGCAUCACAUGGACAGAUAAACAAAAUAAGAAAAUAAAAGCACUAUUUCCACCA
rnacentral:lncRNA from 1 species